CAUGACUGUUAUUAAUUAAGAUUUGCUCUAAACCUGAACUUGUGGGAAGAGUACUUGAUCUAAAAGGCUUUGAGCUGUUGUUUAUCUGUUCCUAGAGAUGCUAGAAUUCUGGAGAAAUUUUAUCUUUCAAAAUCUUUAAAAUAUCACAUGAUGAGUUCUUGUAUGAUGAGAGUUUAAAAUCCUACCACAGCCAUAUAUACAUGCUUAUUAGACUAUGAACCAUUCAUUUACUUUUUACUGCUUAUGAGCAUUGAGUGUGGUCAAGCUGUGUAGACCUUAGGAGCUUGUCUUAUGGUUAAAUCAAGAUUCACUUGCACGUUCACUCACACAUGCUGCUUCUACUCCGGAAUUACGCAUCCACAUACAUCCACUCAUUUCCAUAUCCAGAUUCACCCAAAAAUAUUCUACUCCUAAUCCGGGAGAGAAUAGCCAAUAACAUUCUCCUAUUUCUAUUUUCCCCUGUGAAAUAAAUGCUCAAAAUAUUUCGGUUACUACCACUUGCUACAUUAUUUAAAGUGAUGAGUACUCUAAAAAAAAGAGAAAGAGAGAAGAAGAUACGAGGAAAUAAAAAGGGGCAAGUGCCCAGAACCUCGAAAGAAAAAAAAAAGUGAGACGAGAGGUAAAAAUGGACAAGUGUCCGACAGUAGAAUUAGGGGUAAAAGAUACCCACCUGAGAGAAAAGAAAAAGAAAAUAUAGAGCAUCUCAUUCUCCUCAAAAAGUUUUAAAAGAGCAAUAAAGGUAUGUAUUCCCUCAAAAGAGUACAAGUAGAAUUAGACUUUCAACAUUGUUAUCACCAUCAUCACCAUACACCAUUCAUUCGCCACAGAUGCACAUCAUGAUUUGACUUAUUGACUUCUUCUUCUGGAUCCAUGGUUUGACUAUGCAAUAAAUGUCUUGUAAGUAUGUAUUAGCUGCCUCCCACCUAUGAGCUCCAGAUAUCAAAACUUUAUUAGAGUAGGGUGACAGAGAAGGCAAUGCCACUAUGCCUCAUACCAAAAAUACCACAUACUUUGAGAGAAGGCAUACACCAUUACUGCCUUGGUAAGGAUCCAGAAAUACCACAAAAGAGAGAAUAGAGAGAGUCAUACAAGGAAUCUCUGAGUUUUAUUUGAAAAUCUGCAAAAGCUCCAGAGCUAUAGUUAAUCGAAGAACAAGAGACAUGGCGCUUGAUUAGACCGUUCUAUCUUUUAACUGCUCAAGACACAAGUGACGGUUGCAAGCCCCAUGGUGGAAGGAAAAAUGAGUAAGUUUAAAUGUUAACAGUUUAUCCUAACCCAG
rnacentral:lncRNA from 1 species